CACUGCUCCUAAAAAGAGUUAGAGGAGUGGCUGAAAGAGAGGUCAAUUUCAGGAGGAGAGGUGUCCUGAUACCCUCCUCUUGAAAGAGUUCAAGUCGUAGGCAGGAGGAAAUACAGAUGAAGGAAGAUUGUUCCAGAGUUUACCAGCGUGAGGGAUGAAAGAGUGAAGAUGCUGGUUAACUCUUGCAUAAGGGGUUUGGACAGUAUAGGGAUGAAAGAGUGAAGAUGCUGGUUAACUCUUGCAUAAGGGGUUUGGACAGUAUAGGGAUGAAAGAGUGAAGAUGCUGGUUAACUCUUGCAUAAGGGGUUUGGACAGUAUAGGGAUGAAAGAGUGAAGAUGCUGGUUAACUCUUGCAUAAGGGAUUUGGACAGUAUAGGGAUGAAAGAGUGAAGAUGCUGGUUAACUCUUGCAUAAGGGGUUUGGACAGUAUAGGGAUGAAAGAGUGAAGAUGCUGGUUAACUCUUGCAUAAGGGGUUUGGACAGUAUAGGGAUGAAAGAGUGAAGAUGCUGGUUAACUCUUGCAUAAGGGGUUUGGACAGUAUAGGGAUGAAAGAGUGAAGAUGCUGGUUAACUCUUGCGUAAGGCUUCCUAGGAGUGUGAGGCAUUUCCAGGGGUAGUUAUCUGAGCCUGGUGGUUGUUUGACCCUUCCUGUACUGUGAACCUGUACCUGAACCUAAGAAAACACUCAUUACAACCCGACCGAUCUCCUUUUUGGCAUUUGGAAAUAUUUGGUGUGAGAGGUGGAACCAUAGCGCAGAUUCUAGAUGCUUCGGCGGGGCGGAGAUAGACACGUGGCAGAGAGCUCUUUGGGUAGUUGGCGGUGAGAUGAGGAGGAGGAAGGGGUUGGUAGUGAUGUACCCGGGAGGAAGGAGGGGCGUUGGUGAGGGCGCCCAGACAACCCGGACCCAUAUUCUCAGACCUUUCAGCGCCUUAGUAUAUCCAUUUAAAGAGGCUCUCGUAGAAGUUUUAGGGAUUGCCAAGGGGGGCGCCAUAUCUCCAGUGGUAAUUUUGCAAGAUUUCUACGCCACGAACAGGCAAAACACUCUUGAGAACCCGAUAGAUCUUUUAUAUGGCCUUCAAAAGUUGGUUGAGGGCAAGAACCCUGUUGGCAAGGAGGGAGGGAUUUUGACACUGCUGCAUGCUAACAGGGAAGGAGGGGCUCACAAAGGCUCACUUGUUUUAGGGAGACGAAAAGUGGGAAAGAAAAUGUUGAAAAAUAUCCGAAAAGGUGAAAAAAUGUGCCACAAAAUGCCUGCAAUCAAGCAAAGUGUGAAAAAUUGUCAAAAGUAUAAAAUAUAUUAAAAAAGAGAUGGAGGAAAAGUUAAAAAAAUGUGCAAAAAUGUAUGGAAAGUGAUUUUUUUUAAAUAUACGAAGUUAAAAAUAUGAAAAAAAGUUACAAAAAUUCCUGACCAGAUGCCUGCCGGUACAAACCAGCUGAUGCAAAAUAACUUCAUCUUUUCUGUCCUGCCCUGCCACACGUAGGUUACUAGUAGUAGGGGUAGUAAACAGACACCCUCGCCAUAGACUGAUAGGUCUUCUGGUGUCUGUUCUUCCUAUGUAUUCCUAUGUAAAUAACCCAAUUGGCUUCCACAGGUGCCUCGAUCCUUGGCCAGCCUGAAGAGUUCUGCGUCCAGGCCCAGACGGUGAGCCUGGUGACUGUCCAGGAGGCAGACAGGGACAGACAGGGACAGACAGGGACGCAGUUUGGAGGCUGCUCCGGAAAAUGUCGAAAGGAAGAACCAAAGGAAGGAAGGAAGACCAUCUCAGAAGACCCCAGAGUCAGCCCCUACAGUCCAUCAUAGUCCAAGAAAUAGCUGAAGGAAGUCCCGAGUCCAAGCAACCUUCCUUUCUUUCUGAUUCAAGUCGUCUUUACCUUCAGCGAGGGGACAAAGCGACCAUGGACCUCUCCCUUCCCUUCCUUUUCUUUCCCUUCCCUUCCUUCCUUCCUUUCCCUUCCCUUCCUUCCUUCCCUUCCCUCCCUUCCCUUCCCUUCCUGUCCUUCCCUCCCUUCCUCUCCCUCUCCCCCAAGUUCCCAGUCUGCGGGGGUCCAGAUAAUUGUUGUAUGGGCAAGACUCCUGUCCCUCCCUCUCCUUCCCUCCCUUCCUCUCCCUCUCCCCCAAGUUCCCAGUCUGUGGAGGUCCAGAUAAAUGUUGUAUGGGCAAGACUCCUGUCCCUCCCUCUCCUUCCCUCCCUUCCUCUCCCUCUCCCCCAAGUUCCCAGUCUGUGGAGGUCCAGAUAAUUGUUGUAUGGGCAAGACUCCUGUCCCUCCCUCUCCUUCCCUCCCUUCCUCUCCCUCUCCCCUAAGUUCCCAGUCUGCAGAGGUCCAGAUAAAUGUUGUAAGGGCAAGACUCCUGUCCCUCCCUCUCCCUUCCUUUCCAGUCUUUCUCUCUUGUUCCAUUAUUUAUUUUCUCU